AUUGAACGCAGGCGGCAGGCCUAACACAUGCAAGUCGAACGAGUGGCGGACGGGUGAGUAAUGUCUGGGAAACUGCCUGAUGGAGGGGGAUAACUACUGGAAAAGGUAGCUAAUACCGCAUACCAUCGGAUGUGCCCAGAUGGGAUUAGCUAGUAGUUUGGGUAAAGGCUCACCUAGGCGACGAUCCCUAGCUGGUCUGAGAGGAUGACCAGCCACACUGGAACUAAGACACUGUCCAGACGCCUACGGGAGGCAGCAGUGGGGAAUAGUGCACAAAGGGCGCAAGCCUGAUGCAGCCAUGCCGAGUGUAUGAAGAAGGCCUUCGGGUUGUGAUGUACUGUCAGCGAGGAGGCGUUACCCGCAGAAGAAGCACCGGCUAACUCCGUGCCAGCGGCCGCGGUAAUAC
rnacentral:rRNA from 1 species